CAACCUCAACUCAUAUGGGACUACCCCCUGAAUUUAAGCAUAUAUAAUUAGGGGAGGAAAAGAAACUAACAAGGAUUUUCUUAGUAGCGGCGAGCGAAAAGAAAUCAGUUCAGCACUAAGUCACUUUGUCUAUAUGGCAAAUGUGAGAUGCAGUGUAUGGAACAUCAAUAUUCUAGUAUGAGAAAUUAACGAUUUAAGUCCUUCUUAAAUGAGGCCAUUUACCCAUAGAGGGUGCCAGGCCCGUAUAACGUUAAUGAUUACUAGAUGGUGUUUCCAAAGAGUCGUGUUGCUUGAUAGUGCAGCACUAAGUGGGUGGUAAACUCCAUCUAAAACUAAAUAUAACCAUGAGACCGAUAGUAAACAAGUACCGUGAGGGAAAGUUGAAAAGAACUCUGAAUAGAGAGUUAAAUAGUACGUGAAACUGCUUAGAGGUUAAGCCCGAUGAACCUGAAUAUCCGUUAUGGAAAAUUCAUCAUUAGAAUUGUAAUAUUUAAACAAUAUUAUAAUAAUAGUGUGCAUUUUUUCCAUAUAAGGACAUUGUAAUCUAUUAGCAUAUUAAUUUAUCAUAAAAUUAUGGCAUAUAGUUUAUUUCAAUUAAAAUGCUUGCGUUUUAACAUGAAAUAAAAGCUGUAAAUUUGAUAAAGUGCUGAUAGAUUUAUAUAAAUACAGUGCGUUAAUUUUUCGGAAUUAUAUAAUGGCAUGAUUAUCAUUGAUUUUUGUGUUUAUUAUAUGCACUUGUAUGAUUAACAAUGCGUAAGAUUCAGGAUACCUUCGGGACCCGUCUUGAAACACGGACCAAGGAGUCUAACAUAUGUGCAAGUUAUUGGGAUAUAAACCUAAUAGCGUAAUUAACUUGACUAUUAAUGGGAUUAGUUUUUUAACUAUUUAUAGUUGAUUAACACAAUCCCGGGGCGUUCUAUAUAGUUAUGUAUAAUGGUAUUUAUAUUAUUUAUACCUCUAACUAGAACGUACCUUGAGCAUAUAUGCUGUGACCCGAAAGAUGGUGAACUAUACUUGAUCAGGUUGAAGUCAGGGGAAACCCUGAUGGAAGACCGAAACAGUUCUGACGUGCAAAUCGAUUGUCAGAAUUGAGUAUAGGGGCGAAAGACCAAUCGAACCAUCUAGUAGCUGGUUCCUUCCGAAGUAUCCCUCAGGAUAGCUGGUGCAUUUAAAUAUUAUAUAAAAUAAUCUUAUCUGGUAAAGCGAAUGAUUAGAGGCCUUAGGGUCGAAACGAUCUUAACCUAUUCUCAAACUUUAAAUGGGUAAGAACCUUAACUUUCUUGAUAUGAAGUUUAAGGUUAUGAUAUAAUGUGCCCAGUGGGCCACUUUUGGUAAGCAGAACUGGCGCUGUGGGAUGAACCAAACGUAAUGUUACGGUGCCCAAAUUAACAACUCAUACAGAAACCAUGAAAGGCGUUGGUUGAUUAAAACACCAGGACGGUGAUCAUGGAAGUCGAAAUCCGAUAAGGAGUGUGUACCAACUCACCUGCCGAAGCAACUAGCCCUUAAAAUGGAGGGCGCUUUAGUUGUAUACCUAUACAUUACCGCUAAAGUAGAUGAUUUAUAUUACUUGUAAUAUAAAUUUUGAAACUUUAGUGAGUAGGAAGGUACAAUAGUGUGCAUAGAAGUGUUUGGCGUAAGCCUGCAUGGAGCCGCUAUUGGUACAGAUCUUGGUGGUAGUAGCAAAAUAAUCGAAUGAGACCUUGGAGGGACUUGAAGUGGAGAAGGGUUUUCGUGUGAACAGUGGUUGAUCACGAGUUAGUCGGUCCUAAGUUCAAGGCGAAAGCCGGAAAAUUUUCAAGUAAAGAAAAAUCAAAAUAAAUAAACAAAAAUGUGCCUAAUUAUCGAUUUUUAUACACUUGAAUAAUUUUGAACGAAAGGGAAUACGGUUCCAAUUCCGUAACCUGUUGAGUAUCCGUUUGUUAUUAAAUAUGGGCCUCGUGCUCAUCCUGGCAACAGGAACGACCAUAAAGAAGCCGUCGAGAGAUAUCGGAAGAGUUUUCUUUUCUGUUUUAUAGCCGUACUACCAUGGAAGUCUUUCGCAGAGAGAUAUGGUAGAUGGGCUAGAAGAGCAUGACAUAUACUGUUGUGUCGAUAUUUUCUCCUCGGACCUUGAAAAUUUAUGGUGGGGAUACGCAAACUUCUCAACAGGCCGUACCAAUAUCCGCAGCUGGUCUCCAAGGUGAAGAGUCUCUAGUCGAUAGAAUAAUGUAGGUAAGGGAAGUCGGCAAAUUAGAUCCGUAACUUCGGGAUAAGGAUUGGCUCUGAAGAUUGAGAUAGUCGGGCUUGAUUGGGAAACAAUAACAUGGUUUAUGUGCUCGUUCUGGGUAAAUAGAGAUCUAUCAUUUUAUGGUAGUUUCUUGUUCCCCGGAUAGUUUAGUUACGUAGCCAAUUGUGGAACUUUCUUGCUAAAAUUUUUAAGAAUACUAGCCGGGCAACCGAUUAGUUCUUUUAAAUUAUAACGAUUAUCAAUUAACAAUCAAUUCAGAACUGGCACGGACUUGGGGAAUCCGACUGUCUAAUUAAAACAAAGCAUUGUGAUGGCCCUAGCGGGUGUUGACACAAUGUGAUUUCUGCCCAGUGC
rnacentral:ncRNA from 1 species